GCAGUUAAGCGUGCUUGGGCGAGAGUAGUACUAGGAUGGGUGACCUCCCGGGAAGUCCUCGUGUUGCACCCC
rnacentral:rRNA from 1 species